AUUGAACGCUGGCGGCAUGCCUUACACAUGCAAGUCGAACGGCAGCACGGGAGCAAUCCUGGUGGCGAGUGGCGAACGGGUGAGUAAUACGUCGGAACGUGUCCAGUUGUGGGGGAUAGCCCGGCGAAAGCCGGAUUAAUACCGCAUACGACCUACGGGUGAAAGCGGGGGAUCGCAAGACCUCGCGCUAUUGGGGCGGCCGAUGUCAGAUUAGCUUGUUGGUGGGGUAAAAGCCACCAAGGCGACGAUCUGUAGCUGGUCUGAGAGGACGACCAGCCACACUGGGACUGAGAUACGGCCCAGACUCCUACGGGAGGCAGCAGUCGAGAGGCUUCCGCAAUGGGGGAAACCCUGACGGAGCGACGCCGCGUGAGCGAUGAAGGCCUGG
rnacentral:rRNA from 1 species